GAGGCCGACCAGAUGUGCGUCUGCGCCCGGGAAGGUUUAAGGCCUCCGGACACCACGUGCAACGUCCCGCUGCGGCAUCCGGCACCGCCGCUUGGAGUACGCGGGGAGCCUGGCCGACCCUCUCGUAUCCUUCGUGCCAGAGGUGGCUGGCCGGCCUUCCUGCAGUUGCGUGGUCGUGACUAGGCGGCUGCACCAACCUGCUGCUUGUACAUCACACAGCGACGUCUGGGAGGCUGACCAGGUGUCCGUCUGCGUCCGGGAAGGUGUAAGGCCUCCGGACACCGCGUGCAACGUCCCGCUGCGGCAUCCGGCACCGCCGCUUGGAGUACGCGGGGAGCCUGGCCGACCCUCUCGUAUCCUUCGUGCCAGAGGUGGCUGGCCGGCCUUCCUGCAGUUGCGUGGUCGUGACUGGGCGGCUGCACCAACCUGCUGCUUGUACAUCACACAGCGACGUCUGUGAGGCCGACCAGGUAUGCGUCUGCGUCCGGGAAGGUUUAAGGCCUCCGGACACCGCGUGCAACGUCCCGCUGCGGCAUCCGGCACCGCCGCUUGGAGUACGCGGGGAGCCUGGCCGAUCCUCUCGUAUCCUUCGUGCGAGGGGUGGCUGGCCGGCCUUCCUGCAGUUGCGUGGUCGUGACUGGGUGGCUGCACCAACCUGCUGCUUGUACAUCACACAGCGAGGCAUGGGAGGCCGACCAGGUGUGCGUCUGCGUACGGGAAGGUUUAAGGCCUCCGGACACCGCGUGCAACGUCCCGCUGCGGCAUCCGGCACCGCCUCUUCGAGUACGCGGGAAGCCUGGCCGAUCCUCUCGUAUCCUUCGUGCGAGGGGUGGCUGGCCGGCCUUCCUGCAGUUGCGUGGUCGUGACUGGGCGGCUGCACCAACCUGCUGCUUGUACAUCACACAGCGAGGUCUGGGAGGCCGACCAGGCGUGCGUCUGCGUCCGGGAAGGUUUAAGGCCUCCGGGCACCGCGUGCAACGUCCCGCUGCGGCAUCCGGCACCGCCUCUUCGAGUACGCGGGGAGCCUGGCCGAUCCUCUCGUAUCCUUCGUCCGAGGGGUGGCUGGCCGGCCUUCCUGCAGUUGCGUGGUCGUGACUGGGCGGCUGCACCAACCUGCUGCUUGUACGUCACACAGCGAGGUCUCGGAGGCCGACCAGGUGUGCGUCUGCGUCCGGAAAGGUUUAAGGCCUCCGGACACCGCGUGCAACGUCCCGCUGCGGCAUCCGGCACCACCUCUUCGAGUACGCGGGGAGCCUGGCCGAUCCUCUCGUAUCCGUCGUGCGAGGGGUGGCUGGCUGGCCUUCCUGCAGUAGCGUGGUCGUGACUGGGCGGCUGCACCAACCUGCUGCUUGUAGAUCCCACAGCGAGGUCUGGGAGGCCGACCAGGU